CUACCGAUUUCGAGUGAUCCGGUGAACCUUCUGGACUGCGCUAACAUUAGUUAGUGCGGGAAGUUAAGUAAACCACUUCACUUAGAGGAAGGAGAAGUCGUAACAAGGUUUCCGUAGGUGAACCUGCGGAAGGAUCA
rnacentral:rRNA from 1 species